AGAAAAGCCUGUGGCUGCCAGCAAAGCCUUCUGCCUCUGACACCUGAGUCCAAGCACGCAUCUCCUGCCCUAGGCCUUUGCUUAGCGAUGGUGCAGCCAUCCUGAGCCCGUGAAAUUAUGGCCAUCCAUUGGUUAUGCAAAGUGCGCUCUGUGAAGAAAGCCUAGAGUUUUCAAUAACUGGUUCUCAACUUGUGAUUCAUGGACCACUAACACUGGCAUCAUUUGGGAUCUUGUUGGAAAUUCAGAUCUGAGUCCCACCCAACCUACAGAGAUAAAAUGCUCUGUGUUUUAUGAAACCCUUUCUGUUGGCCAGAGUCUGUGCAGGUUUGAGAACACAUACUUAGGGCGAGAACUCCCCUGGUUGUGACAGAAGACAAUGUGCUACAGUCGGAGGCAUCCCUGGAAAAUGGCAUGAGGAAGCACAUGGGCUCAAUUAAGGAAGACCAUAGCUCACAGAUGCUCAAAUAUGACCCCUGGGUCAUCAGUGAGCAUAAAAGACAGGGAAGGUGUUCAUGUUAGCCCCUGGGGUGGAGAUAUGAAAUAAAAAAUUGCAUGUGUGCAUAUCCUUAACUGAA